rnacentral:rRNA from 1 species
CCCGCUGAACUUAAGCAUAUCAAUAAGCGGAGGAAAAGAAACUAACAAGGAUUCCCCUAGUAACUGCGAGUGAAGCGGGAAAAGCUCAAAUUUGAAAUCUGGCGGUUCUUGACCGUCCGAGUUGUAAUCUAGAGAAGUGUUACCUGUGCUGGACCGUGUACAAGUCUCCUGGAAUGGAGCAUCAUAGAGGGUGAGAAUCCCGUCUUUGACACGGACUGCCUGUACAUUAUGGUGUGCUCUCAAAGAGUCGAGUUGUUUGGGAAUGCAGCUCAAAAUGGGUGGUAAAUGCCAUCUAAAGCUAAAUAUUGACGAGAGACCGAUAGCGAACAAGUACCGUGAGGGAAAGAUGAAAAGAACUUUGGAAAGAGAGUUAAACAGUACGUGAAAUUGCUGAAAGGGAAACGCUUGAAGUCAGUCGCGUUGGCUAGAAAUCAACCUUGCUUUUGCUUUGUGUACUUUCUGGUUGACGGGUCAGCAUCAAUUUUGACCACUGGAUAAAGUCUUUGGGAAUGUGGCAUCUUCGGAUGUUUUAUAGCCCAUUGUCGCAUCCGGUGGUUGGGAUUGAGGAACUCAGCACGCCGCAAGGCCGGGAUUUGACCACGUUCGUGCUUAGGAUGCUGGCAUAAUGGCUUUAAUCGACCCGUCUUGAAACACGG